rnacentral:rRNA from 1 species
UACGAAGGGGGGCUAGCGUUGCUCGGAAUUAUUGGGCGUAAAGAGCUCGUAGGCGGUCUGUCGCGUCGAUCGUGAAAACUUGGGGCUUAACCCUGAGCUUGCGGUCGAUACGGGCAUGACUGGAGUUCGGCAGGGGAGACUGGAAUUCCUGGUGUAGCGGUGAAAUGCGCAGAUAUCAGGAGGAACACCGGUGGCGAAGGCGGGUCUCUGGGCCGAUACUGACGCUGAGGAGCGAAAGCGUGGGGAGCGAACAGG